rnacentral:lncRNA from 1 species
UGACGAGCUGCCGGAACUCAUGCAAUAGGGCAACCUCUAUUUCACCUUCUUCUUCCUCCAAGCUUAGCCACCGCCGGCCACUAGUUUGGCUAGGGCUGCGGCUGUCUGUGGUCGUCGACGAGUGGGGGGGCCAGGCCACCAUGGCUGUCCUCUUAGACCUACGGGUGAAAGGGGGAAAGAAUAGAAGGGGAGGAUAAGCCUCUCGUUCGUAAAGAGAGGAGAGAGAGGAUUUCUCUCUCUUCUCCCUUCUUCUCUCUCUUUCUCUUUCCUCUCUUUAUUUUCUCUCUGCAGUUUC